AAGAAAAUCUGGCCCCAAGCUUCCUUCUCAUACAUUCUAUAUAAGGAGAAAACCUAGAACUUAAGGGGGGGAGCCGCCACUCACUGCUUCUUUUUCCUUAGGUGAUAUUAUUUUUCCUCCUCACUAAACCUCCUCGAGUCAUUGAAAAUCAGUCAUACAAUUAUCGCAAACCCACCCCGAAACAAAUGUAAUUCCACUAGUUCGUCGCUACUGCUUUAGUUGUACAACCACCAGCGAAACACCACCCAAAACAGUCCCUUUUCUCUGUUAAAACCUAGUUGGAAAAUGCAGCAAAAACCCCCCCUUUAAAACAAUCGUAGUUCUUCCUCAAAGCAGCGUGCAAUUGGGUUGAGUCGGGUUUGAGUUCAUGACGAGAUUCCGUUCAUGGUUCCGGCGAGGUCUUCCAUCACGGAUCUAUCACGUGUUGUAGUAGCUGUUAUUCCAAAUUUUAUAAAGGAUCUCUAUAUAUUGCAAGUCUAAAUUGCUAAGCUCAAGGUCCAUUUCUACUUUAGAUCUUUAUUUCGUGCAUAGCUUGAUGUUUAAUGUUGCUGAGCUUAUAUUACUUGCGCACUGUUUAUAUAUUUAUGUGGUGAUUCGUUCUUAGUUUGAGAAUUAUUGUGAUGUUAUGCUGAUUUUCAGUUUCUCUCGUUAGCUUUGCAACUGCAUUUUAGUAUAACAAUUGUGGCUUAGAGUUAAUUCGUAUGUUUCAAGUUAUUUACUAAACGGAUCAGUUGAAUAGGAUUUUAUUAGAAUUAGGGAAUGAAGAUUCAAUGUGAUAUUUAUGGCAGUCUUACAAAAUUGAAGUGGGUCCUCGGCUUUUGACUUUUAAUGGUUAUUGAGUUUAGGCUGAUUUGACAGACUCGCUUGCGUAGCGUGAUAUUUAAUAUUUAAUAAAUUAAUUUUAUAAUCUCCAUAGCUUAAUUAUUUACUAAUUUAAUUAAUCUCUUGUUCUAAUCGCGAAUUCGCUUGCGUAACGCGAUAGUGGCAUUUAAUAAUUUCCUUAAUCACAAAUUUAGUAAUUUCUCAAAAGUACUAUAAUUAUUUGAUUGUCAUGAUUCCAGAUUCGCUUGCGAUGCGCGAUUAUGAUAAGUUAAUUAAUUUUAUUUUUGAUCACGCAUUCGCUUGCGUAGCGUGGUCAUGAGAACGUAAUAUUCUCCAAAUUAUUCUUUAGUAGUUCUAACAAUCACGCAAUAAAAGCGGACAUAGGAAAAAAUUGAAAAUCAUAUAAAAAACAGUUUGUCCAAAAUUUAUUCAAGCCAAGUAUAAGUCAAUAAAAGUGACCAUGCUAGAACCACGGGACUUGGAGAAUGCCUUACACCUUCUCCCCGGUCAACAAAAUUCCUUAUCCGGACUUUGUUUUCGCAGACCAAUAUUAAAAGAGUCAAACCUUCAUUUGACUAGGGAUUCAAAUAAAAGAGGACUUGGGACACCGACAAAUUAAUUUCAAGUGGUGACUCUGUAAAUAAAAUAAUCCCUACUCAAGCUUGUCACUUUAAUUGGAAAAACUCUUUAACCCAGAAUCCAUAACAUACAUUAUCUUUUGGAGUUGGAAGCCCGUGGAACAAUUCAUCGCAUUUUGGCAAAAUUAGAAAGUUGAUGUGUUCUAAUUAUAUUAUUUUGUGUGCGGAUGAGGACUAUUAAUAUGAUGGAUAUCAAUUGGAUGUGAUAACAAGUGUACGAGACAUAUUAUAAGUGAUGUGGGGUCUAAGGAGAGGCCUAAGUCUAAGUCAAGUUGGAAAUUUUAUGAUAGGCUAAAGUUUCAAAUGAGUACGCAUAAGACCAAAUUUUGGACGAACAUAUAUACAUAUAUAUAAGGAGUUAUGUGAUGGACAACUCAUAAAAUGAAAGAUCUUCGAGUAUACUUUCUAACUCUUCAAACCGUUCAUCAUUUGGACAUUCUUAUAAGAAGUUAUGACCAAAUUACCAAAAGCUAGUAGAAACACUACCGCGCCGUCCCACGCGGCGCGCCUGUGGAAAAUUCUAGAACGCUCCAAAAUUUCAUUUCCAUAUACUUUUUGCACAGCCGCAACGUGCCGCGGAUGUACAAAAAUGGGUUUUUAUUACUCGAACCCCAUUUUAUUUUACUCGAUUGGGCUUUAUUUUUUGGGUAAUUUUUGGUGUUUUAGAGAGAAGGGAGAGCGAUUCUAGAGAGAGGAAAGGGGAGAACUAUAGAUUUCACUACUCUUCUUGAAUCAAACCUUGAAAACGCAUUAAAGGGUUACUAGAGCUUCAAAGAGGUAAGAAUUUCUUUCCCCAAUUCUUCAAUUUCAAAAUCUAACUAGAAAUGGGUAAUUAGUAAGAUGAUUCUUGGAUGUGAGAGUAUUAGUUAUACAUGCUUGUACCAAUAAGGUUGUGGGGAGAUUUUUAAGUUCAAAUGGGUAAACAUUGGGUUGAAAAAUGGUAGAAAUCUUCAAAGACUUUAAUUGAAGAUUUGAAGGGCAAUCCGAUGUCAGAAUUUAAUAAUUUUUAUAUGGUUGAACUCGUAUUGGAACGGGUGUUUGGAUUUCAUGAGUUUUUUUGAGAUUCGAAAUGUGGGUCCCACUAUCAAUUUUUAAAAUGAAUUUCGAAUUUUAAUACGGAAUAUUAGUAAUUUCAUAUGAAAUUAAUUCCUACAAUUCGUAUUGAGUAUAUUGAAUUGUCUGUGACUAGAUUUGAAGCAUUCGUACUCGAAUUCGCGAGGCAAAGGUUUAUUGGAAUCUUGAAUUUGGUUGCGAAGCGAGGUAAGUAUCUUGCCUAACCUUGAGUAGGGGAAUUACCCCUUAGACAUUGAGUCUUAUGUGGAAAUUAUAUAAUUGAAAAUCAUGUACGCGAGGUAACGAGUACGUACUUGGUUUAUAUGUGCAAAUUAUAUCGGUUGAAAUUUGUAUACGCCUUUAAGUAUUAAAUUGGAAAAUUAUUGGAACUUAGUAAAUCCUUGGAUUUGUCAUGCCCCA
rnacentral:lncRNA from 1 species